rnacentral:lncRNA from 1 species
GCACAGCCCCAGGCCUCUCCCCCACCCCCUGCCUCGCCCACCAUGUGGCUGGAACGGUGACCACCCAGCAAGAACCCAUCUCCCACCCUCACCAGUGAUCCCGGAAAACCAGUCACUGGGGUCCCGCGGGGCAUCCGAAGGCCAAGGCAAGUCACCUUUCAGAAUGUCCCCUCUGUGCAGCCUUUCCAGGAAGGAAGCUGG